rnacentral:ncRNA from 2 species
UGUUGUCAGCCGGGGUGUCCUGCCGAAUGGCCGGACUGAGAUUAUACCCGAUGAACCUGAUCCGGAUCAUGCCGGCGGAGGGAGCGCAGGAAAGCUGAGA